rnacentral:rRNA from 1 species
AACGAACGCUGGCGGCAGGCCUAACACAUGCAAGUCGAACGGGUGUAGCAAUACAUCAGUGGCGCACGGGAGAGUAACGCGUGGGAACCUACCUUUUGGUUCGGAAUAACGUCGGGAAACUGACGCUAAUACCGGAUAAGCCCUACGGGGGAAAGAUUUAUCGCCGAAAGAUGGGCCCGCGUUAGAUUAGCUUGCUGGUGAGGUAACGGCUCACCAAGGCUACGAUCUAUAGCUGGUCUAAGAGGAUGAUCAGCCUCACUGGGACUGAGACACGGCCCAGACUCCUACGGGAGGCAGCAGUGGGGAAUAUUGGACAAUGGGGGCAACCCUGAUCCAGCCAUGCCGCGUGAAUGAUGAAGGCCUUCGGGUUGUAAAGUUCUUUUGGCGGGGACGAUGAUGACGGUACCCGCAGAAUAAGCUCCGGCUAACUUCGUGCCAGCAGCCGCCGCGG